rnacentral:rRNA from 1 species
GACGAACGCUGGCGGCGUGCCUAAUACAUGCAAGUAGAACGCACAGUUUAUACCGUAGCUUGCUACACCAUAAACUGUGAGUUGCGAACGGGUGAGUAACGCGUAGGUAACCUGCCUGGUAGCGGGGGAUAACUAUCGGAAACGAUAGCUAAUACCGCAUAAUAUUGAUUAUUGCAUGAUAAUUGAUUGAAAGAUGCUAUUGCAUCACUACCAGAUGGACCUGCGUUGUAUUAGCUAGUAGGUGAGGUAACGGCUCACCUAGGCGACGAUACGUAGCCGACCUGAGUAGGUGAUCGGCCACACUGGGACUGAGACACGGCCCAGACUCCUACGGGAGGCAGCAGUAGGGAAUCUUCGGCAAUGGACGAAAGUCUGACCGAGCAACGCCGCGUGAGUGCAGAAGGUUUUCGGAUCGUAAAGCUCUGUUGUAAGAGAAGAACGGGUGUGAGAGUGGAAAGUUCACACUGUGACGGUAUCUUACCAGAAAGGGACGGCUAACUACGUG